UACUUGAACAGCCUCAGUUUUCCAAUUCAUGGGAAUAACACUGACCAAAUUACCGACAUUUUGAGCAUAAAUGUGACAACAGAUAAACUACUGGGUCCUCUUCCCUGUGUCCUCCUCCCUUGGUAUAUCAAUAGACAUAACAAGGACUGGUUCAAGAUAUUAAGAUGGGAUGACUUCAAGAGGCUUCACCAUCUUAAAAACUUGGGUUAACAAGCUUCUCAAUUAAAAUGCAAUUGACCUUGGAAAGUUUAAUUUAUCCUUCCAGAAAGACUGGUCAUUCACACAUAGAGGGGGUGAAUCUUUUCUGAUAGUGAACUAUGAAACAGGUUUGACAAAAGUGGAUACUUCAAUGUAGCAGAGAAAGCCUCAGGCUCAUGGACCUCAGGACCAGCAGGGAACAGCUAAGAGGAGUUGGCCUAAAAGAGGAAGUGAAUGGGAUGGGUAGGCAAUGAAGGUUAGGCCUACUGACCAUGGCACUAAUGUCUAAGCAUCCAAACUUUCACCAUCUUCCUUUUUCCAUCCUUCCCUCGCCUCAUUCUUCCAACAGCCUACCUUAUGAUCCUUUUUUAGUAAUGGCAAAUAAAACUGAGGAUAUUUAAAACCAGACAA
rnacentral:sRNA from 1 species